AAUUCUUUGGCAGAAAAAUGUAUUAAGCUUAGAACUUAAAGAUAAGAAAAACACUUAAGAAUUA
rnacentral:tRNA from 1 species